rnacentral:ncRNA from 1 species
GCUAGGGGAGCCGAUUGCUGAGACUGAGAUUUUCCUGCUUUCGCGGGAUUCUCUAACCCUUACUACUUGACCCGGAUAAUACCGGCGUAAGGAAGCAGAU